rnacentral:rRNA from 1 species
CCUACGGGAGGCAGCAGUGGGGAAUAUUGCGCAAUGGGCGAAAGCCUGACGCAGCAACGCCGCGUGGGGGAUGAAGGCCUUCGGGUUGUAAACCUCUUUCAGCAGGGAAGAAGCGAAAGUGACGGUACCUGCAGAAGAAGCACCGGCUAACUACGUGCCAGCAGCCGCGGUAAUACGUAGUGUGCAAGCGUUGUCCGGAUUUAUUGGGCGUAAAGAGCUCGUAGGCGGUUAGUCACGUCGGAUGUGAAAUCCCGGAGCUUAACUCCGGGCCUGCAUUCGAUACGGGCUGACUCGAGUGUUGUAGGGGAGACUGGAACUCCUGGUGUAGCGGUGAAAUGCGCAGAUAUCAGGAAGAACACCGGUGGCGAAGGCGGGUCUCUGGGCAACUACUGACGCUGAGGAGCGAAAGCGUGGGGAGCAAACAGGAUUAGAUACCCUGGUAGUCCACGCCGUAAACGGUGGGCGCUAGGUGUGGGGAACAUUCCACGUCUCUGCGCCGCAGCUACGACAUAGCGCCCGCCGCGGGAGGUACGGCCGCGAGGACGUAAACCGUACUAAUAGUAAGUUAGACGGCGUUGAGACGUUGCCGACGGCGACGACGAGGGAGGAGG